GUUACCCUAUGGGAGGCAGCAGUGGGGAAUAUUGCACAAUGGGGGGAACCCUGAUGCAGCGACGCCGCGUGGGUGAAGGAGUAUUUCGGUAUGUAAAGCCCUAUCAGCAGGGAAGAACAAUGACGGUACCUGACUGAGAAGCACCGGCUAAAUACGUGCCAGCAGCCGCGGUAAUACGUAGGUGGCAAGCGUUGUCCGGAUUUACUGGGUGUAAAGGGCGUGCAGCCGGGAAGACAAGUCAGAUGUGAAAUCCCGCGGCUCAACCGCGGAACUGCAUUUGAAACUGUUUUUCUUGAGUACCGGAG
rnacentral:rRNA from 1 species